rnacentral:rRNA from 1 species
UUGAAGCACUCCUCAGAUGUACAUGCUCUCGAGUCGGAUUGCUUGAGAAUCGAGUCGGAUGAUCGCUUAAAGACAAGUACCGUGAGGGAAAGUUGAAAAGACUCCAUCCAAUGCAGUCCAAAGUGGGUGGUAAACUCCAUACCGAAGUCCAGUGCUUUUGCAUAUAGGACAAUGUGGUGUAUGCAGUCCAAAGUGGGUGGUAAACUCCAUACCGAAGUCCAGUGCUUUUGCAUAUAGGACAAUGUGGUGUGAUUAGCCCAGCGGGUGAAAUGCAGUCCAAAGUGGGUGGUAAACUCCAUCCAAGGCUAAAUACUGGCACGUCGCCAACUUGAGUGAACGGAGAUUAGCCCAUCACCGAAGUCUAUUCACGAGUAGACAAGUACCGUGAGGAACUCCAUCCUCCAACUCCGAAUAUGGCUUGGAUUUGUUCAACUCGCUUAUGUUGAUUUCGAUCUGCUAGUGAUCAUGUUGGGGGGUGUUCCUCGGAACGGUAUUUA